UAACACUAAAAUGAGAAACCCUAAAAGUGUAUCAGCCCCUUCUUUCUCCUCUUCUUCUACCAGCCCGAUACCACAAAUCUCUCUAUCCUUCUCUUGUGUCUAAGUCAACCAGAACAGACCAGCCAUCUCCGACCACCACCCAAUGACAUGCACCCCACCACGAGCUUCCUUGGCCCCCGAAACCCCCAACCCAUGAAGCUCGCCUCCCCACUUUCCAGCCUCCGUCGCGACUAGCUCCCCAAAGUUUCGCUGCCACUGUGCGUUUGGAGGAUUUUUCUGGCCUCCACCGUAGUCGAAACAUGAAUUCAAGGGCAUGGCUGGGUUCGUGAGCUCAAGGGGAGAAAAACCCCUAUGGAAAUUGGACCCAAAUGUCGUCAGAGGUGCUCGCCAAUGUCACAAAAUUUUGAGGGGUUCUUGGCCUUGUUGUAACCGCCAUAGUGGGAUGUGAGUCGCACCACCAUGAUUUUUGAGUUCCCCUCAACCUCUUCUUCAAAACCCAUGGGUUUAAUUCCCCAACCACCGCCGUUGGGAUGGCGCCGCUGCUCUCAUCGUUGGAGCUCCGACGUGAGCUUCGGUCAACAAUGGUGUAGGCAGCCCGAGGCUCAUUUUGAGCUCUAAAUGCUCCCAUGCAGUUCGUUAAAUCUGUAUUACUCCCAUCUUCAAUAACUGUAUACAUUUCUUGCUUGAGUAUAUAUAUUUGUGUAAAUUUUCCUAUUAUUUUUCUGUUCGUUAUACAGGGAAUGAUCUGUGGAUUGUGCUUGGUGAUUUUUUUUUGUUCUUGACCACUAGCGAGUUGUUGAUUGCAAGUUGAGCUUUACUGAUGCAAAUUUGAAUCACUUCGAUCAUAGCUUGCUGAAAAUGGUAACAUUUCAUUGCAUUAGAGGAAUGAGCUUCGGGAAUUAGAAGGGCAUGAAUGUUAGAUUCUUAGGUGACUUCUAUUUCAAAACUUUAGUAGUUUGAUGAUUUCAUUUGCUUUAGGUAUUCUAGUUUUAGAAUUUUUUUACAGUAAAGUUGAUAUCUUAUUCAAUGUAUGGUGUCAGUUUCUACUAUCUUAUUUAAUAGCAUGAUUGUUGGCGACUUCAGUGGCUUCCUAAAAAGUGAUGAAAGGUUUUUUGAGAGUUAAUGAAGAUUAUAUUUUGUCGUUCUAUUCACAUAUUUGGAGAACUCAUGUAUCUUAUUUUUCUGAAACCUAAUUAUUCUAUUGAAGCUCCAUAUGUCAUUAAUAUUAUCAAGGAUACUAAAGCAACACAAGAUACAUUUGUAAUGAGUAUGGUUUUUAUUUUGACAUGUUUUCUUUUGUUAACAAAUGUGAGCUAUAUAUGUAACUAAAGUUAUUAUUAUUAGAUUUUUCUAGUUUUGUAUUAUACAUGUGAUAAGAUUGAUUAUUUAUAUUUUAUUCAAAAUUUGUAACUA